UCCCCCGUAGGUUAAGUAGACCGCUGGAAUUAGACUUAGAGUCGCCUGCCGGAAGUGCCGGUUCAAAUCCGGCCGGGGGAG
rnacentral:tRNA from 1 species